rnacentral:rRNA from 1 species
UGAGUAACCUGCCCCAAACUCUGGAAUAAGCACUGGAAACGGUGUCUAAUACCGGAUACGAGCUUCAGCCGCAUGGCUAGGAGUUGGAAAGAAUUUCGGUUUGGGAUGGACUCGCGGCCUAUCAGCUAGUUGGUGAGGUAAUGGCUCACCAAGGCGACGACGGGUAGCCGGCCUGAGAGGGUGACCGGCCACACUGGGACUGAGACACGGCCCAGACUCCUACGGGAGGCAG